AUGGAUGGGAGUUGUAGUUCUCGAAUCUAGUUUGGACUACGGGAGUUCAGUGAAAGUGUAGAAAAUGCUUUUCGCCACUUCGUUUUGUAGGCUGGAGCAGAAAUCUCAUGUGUUGCAUUUCUUCCACGAAAAGUAUAUCGCGGGAAAGUUGCAAUCCUUAAGGCGUUUCCCUUCUCAUCCAAAAGUUUCUUCAGAACUUUGGAAAAAUCCCUUUUUGCCAAGCAGUGAUCUCUGAAAGCCUUUAAAGCAUAACUUCCUUAGCUUUUUGCUACUUCAGUUUCCUUUAUCGUGUUUUCCGGGCCGCACCGAAUUGCUUGCAGUUGUGCAGCCUUGGAAAUUGAAGGAAUGGGUCAGCCAGUCAAUCUAAAGAAGUGAGAAAAUGAUUCCAUUCAGAAGUAUGACCUCUUGUGGUCAGAAAGAAUCCUUUGACACGAUUGAAGAGCGGUUUAAGAGAGAGGUGUUUGCUUAGCCUUUGUGAUCCAUGCUGAUUUCUUCAAUAUCGACUCCUGACAACAGGCAAAUCCCUGAAGCUUUCUUGGCAAGAUUUUGGACGUGGUGUGCCCUUGUCUUCUUCCUAGGAAUGAAAGAGAACAACUGGCCCAAGAGCACUUCAGUUGGCUUUGUGUCUAAGGACACAUCAUCUCCAAGCUUCUAACCUGGUGCCUUAACCGUGACAUCAAACUGGCGCUCCCGUUAGGAAU